UCCAAGCUACUCUUCAAUAUUUUUCCAAUGUGGUACAAUGACCAUUCUCAUUUUUAAGCAAAAUCACAACAGUGAGCAUGUGGCGCAUCUCAUCAUAGCUGCUUCGCAAAAUUGACACUAUUUGGAGCAGUCCUUUCCAACCUCGACGAGCAAGUACUUGGCACAUCUCCACAAAACUAUUCAUUCUUUGACGUAGGUGCGAUGAACUCUCGAGCCGCUUGCUUUUGAAGAAUCAAGAUUUGAAAGGAUGCAUCCCAUAAAAUAAAAAUAAAUUUCACGGAUAAAUUCCUUGAGGAUUAGCCGCAGUCGACUUUUGAAGCUGAUAUACAUGUCUGACAUUUCGACUUUAAAACAUUGUAUGUUGUCAUUAGAACACACAUAUCUUAAGCUAAGAACUUCCAAAUUGCUAGCCGUCUGCGCCAUUGAAAGAAGACUCAGAGAUAAGGAAAUUGUCAAAAUAUCAUGGAACGAUUCCUAGAAGAUUAGCCGCAGCAAUUUCCCGAAAUUAACCCAUCUGUCUGUCGAACUUGCUGUUCAGCUUUAUGCGCUUGUGGAAAAAUUCACAUCUUGAGCUACAGGUGUCGGGAUCGCGAGCCAUCCGCUCUAUUGGAAAGAAAACUCUGAGACUUACAAUAUCUGUAAAGACCAAUGCAAAAAUCCUUUCAGAACGCCCGUCAUGAUAUUUUGAAAUUGCUAUAGACAUCUGCUGCACAUGAUUUCAAGAUUUGCGCAUUCUAGAUAAAGAAACUCAUAUCUUAGGCUAUGAACGUCGAAAGCACGAGACGUUUGUAUCCCUAGAGAAAAGACCAAAAGAUGAGAAAAUCAUCAAAAUAUCAUAGAAGUACUACUUCCAGAUUGGCCGGAGCAAUCUCUUGAAAUUGAUCGAGACGUCUGCCUUGCUGCUUUUCAGCUCUGCGCGCUCCGGUGGAAAAAUUCAUAUCUCGAGCUAGAAAACUCCAAAUUGCA
rnacentral:lncRNA from 1 species